rnacentral:rRNA from 1 species
GUGUCAGCAGCCGCGGUAAUACGGAGGGUGCAAGCGUUAAUCGGAAUUACUGGGCGUAAAGCGCACGCAGGCGGUUUGUUAAGUCAGAUGUGAAAUCCCCGGGCUCAACCUGGGAACUGCAUCUGAUACUGGCAAGCUUGAGUCUCGUAGAGGGGGGUAGAAUUCCAGGUGUAGCGGUGAAAUGCGUAGAGAUCUGAAGGAAUACCGGUGGCGAAGGCGGCCCCCUGGACAGAUACUGACACUCAGAUGCGAAAGCGUGGGGAGCAAACAGGAUUAGAAACCCCCGUAGUCC